UUUGGUUCAGAUAGCCAUGCACGUCUAAGUACAAACUAAAUGAUGGUGAAACUGCAAAUGGCUCAUUACAACGGUUAUGAUGUACCCGGGAGUUCCGGUGGAUAUUUCCAGUAACACUAGAACUAAUACAUGUCCCUGCGUUUAUUAGUUUCGCACAGUCCGUCGCUGAGUCAUGGUAAACAGUUGAUCGACUCGACGUCCCGGAACAGUUUCCGCCCCAUCAGCUUCGAUGGUUGGGUAUUGGCCUACCAUUGCAACAACGGGUAACGAGGAAUUAGGGUUUGAUUUCGGAGAGGGAGCCUGAGAAACGGCUACCACAUCUACGGAUGGCAGCAGGCGCGCAAAUUACCCAAUGCAGACACUGUGAGGUAGUGACGAGAAAUAAUAAAGCGGGACUUCUGUUUCGCUAUUAUAAUGAGGAAUAACCAAAGGUCAUUCCGAUUAGCAACUGAUGGGAAAGUCUGGUGCCAGCAGCCGCGGUAAUACCAGCGUCAGUAGCA
rnacentral:rRNA from 1 species